CCCAUGUGGAUGCUCCCGGGAGGCCACUCUCCCCGGACUCUGUCCUGGUGGCAUGGAGGAAGCACAGGGCUCUGCCCAUGAUGGACAGUCGGAGAUCAAGUUGGCCUUGAGUCCGCACCUGCACAGAG
rnacentral:snoRNA from 1 species